AGCGAACGCUGGCGGCAGGCUUAACACAUGCAAGUCGAACGCGCGUAGCAAUACGUGAGUGGCAGACGGGUGAGGAACACGUGGGAAUAUGCCCUUUGGUUCGGAAUAACUCAGGGAAACUUGAGCUAAUACCGGAUAUCUCCGAGAGGAGAAAGAUUUAUCGCCAAAGGAUUAGCCCGCGUCUGAUUAGCUAGUUGGUGAGGUAACGGCUCACCAAGGCGACGAUCAGUAGCUGGUCUGAGAGGAUGAUCAGCCACACUGGGACUGAGACACGGCCCAGACUCCUACGGGAGGCAGCAGUGGGAAUAUUGGACAAUGGGCGCAAGCCUGAUCCAGCCAUGCCGCGUGAGUGAUGAAGGCCUUAGGGUUGUAAAGCUCUUUUGUCCGGGAAGAUAAUGACUGUACCGGAAGAAUAAGCCCCGGCUAACUCGUGCCAGCAGCCGCGGUAAU
rnacentral:rRNA from 1 species